rnacentral:rRNA from 1 species
UACGUAGGGGGCAAGCGUUGUCCGGAUUUAUUGGGCGUAAAGAGCGUGUAGGCGGUUCGGUAGGUCCGUUGUGAAAACUCGAGGCUCAACCUCGAGACGCCGAUGGAAACCCCCGAACUAGAGUCCGGAAGAGGAGAGUGGAAUUCCUGGUGUAGCGGUGAAAUGCGCAGAUAUCAGGAAGAACACCCGUGGCGAAGGCGGCUCUCUAGUACGGUACUGACGCUGAGACGCGAAAGCGUGGGGAGCGAACAGG